rnacentral:rRNA from 1 species
UACGUAGGGUGCAAGCGUUGUCCGGAAUUAUUGGGCGUAAAGAGCGUGUAGGCGGCCUCGUAAGUCCGCUGUGAAAGUCCAGGGCUCAACCCUGGAAAGCGGAUGGAUACUGCCGGGCUAGAAUCCGGAAGAGGCGAGUGGAAUUCCUGGUGUAGCGGUGGAAUGCGCAGAUAUCAGGAGGAACACCAAUAGCGAAGGCAGCUCGCUGGGACGGUAUUGACGCUAAGGCGCGAAAGCGUGGGGAGCAAACAGG